GUCAACAAGCUUGACAGAGUGUAUACAUUGAACAUUGCGUCCACCAAUAGAAAAACAAACAUUCUUUUUAAGCAGACAUGGAAUAUUGAUGGAAACUGACCAUAUGCUAGGCCUAAAUUCAUACUUAUUGUGAUAGCUUUGUAAUGUGUCAGUUUGGCUAGGCUGAACUACCCAUCUCAGACUUCCCUUUCUUCUGUGUUUCCAGUUAGCAUGAGCCACGUGUCAUGCUAUUCUGGAAGGCAGGAAGAAAGCAAAAGCCAUUUUGUAGCUCACACACUUCGUUGCUGAUCUGCAAACUCACCUUGGAAUAAAGCAGAGCUGGGCCUCAAUUAUUCCCCUUUUCUCCUGGAUCUUCCUUCAGUGUCACUGACUCCUGGACCAGGUGAUGCUGAUGCACAGUUGAGGGGUGUGAAAAAUCAAGCAAAACUCUCCGUGAAUGCUGAAUGACAACCACAAGCUCUGUUUGUUGAGGAUCUGGAGUGAGUUCUGCCAGCUGCCUUUGGCCCAGAUCUCCAUGGAGUGACUCAUCAUACCUCUGCAUUUCUGGGAAUUUGGAAUGUUCUUUUAUGAUUUUUUAAUUAAGGAAAAAAGUGUUUUGCUUAGAAUAUAUACAUCUACAUAUUUGAAAGAAAAUACACCAAAAUGUCAAGUGUUCAUUUUGAGCUCCUGUUCAGAAUUCCUGAAGCAUUCAGAGUUGUAAGGCAGUGUGAUGUGGUGAGCUGGGUCCCUAGUCCAUCACCUAGGCACCCUUCACUGAAUAGAAAGGUUUAUGUCCAAAUCUUGGCUUCACUCCUUAUUAGUUGUGUGACCUAGUGCGAGUUGCUUAACCCCUCUGAGCUUCAGUUUUCUUACCUGUAAGAUGGAGAUAAUAGUACCUACUUCAGAAUGCUAUUGUAAGGAUAAAUGAGAUAAUAGGCAUGAAAGUACCCGGCAUGCUUCUGGGACCUUGAGAGCAUCCCCUGCUUUGAAAAUUGUUGGAUAUAAAGUAAUGGUACAUGGGCAAUAAGCUUUGUAUAUAGCUCUUUUGAUGAAUUAGGUGCAUGGGUUCCUGUUAGACUCAUCCAACAAGGCCAGUCCUUGGCGUGUAUGUAUAUGUGUUUGUGGGUCUGCAUCUGCACCCUCCCUGGGGAAAAAGAGAGUUCGAUUUGUGAUCAGUGGAGACCAGUGUGUAAUGGUUGAGAGCUGAGUUCUGAAGAUAGGCUUCAUAGAUUUAAGUCCUUGCUUGGCCAUGUACCUACUGUGUGGCCUCAGACAUAUUUCUUACCCUCUCUGUAUCUCAGUUUCAUCCUCUGUAGAAGUGGAAAGUAACUUAGUGUUGUUGUGAAGAUUCAUGGAGUUAAUAUAUGUAAAGCACUUAGGAUCCACUAUUCUCCAUUUCUAGGACAAACAGGAAGUGGCAGAGGAGAAAGCUGUGGUGAUGAAAGUGACAGGGAUGCCAAAGAGACUUGUGCUCCAGGAAGUGCCAGGGCAAUGAUCCCCAUGAUGGACACAGGCCAUGGAGCACUAGAAGCCAAGGGUCUGGUAGGGAACAAUACAAGAUCAGGAAAGGGAGCAAUGGCAUCGGGCAGCACCCAGGGUCCAUGGUGCUGGGGACACAGGGACACUCUGCCUCCCAUCAAUGAUGCUGGAGUUGAAAAAGAGAUUCGAGUCUUGGGGUUUGGGAACACUGCAAGCUUCCAGGGUUACCCCAUAUGACGGUGCAGGUCAGACAGUGUAGAGGAAUCCUGUAGCGUCUGUUUGACAUCUGCAGACAUGGUUAGGCCUCUUCCUGUAACAUUGUAUAAAGGAUGCCAGAAGAGACAAGGUGGAGUGUUCAAGUGCAUGCAUUUCCCUUGGAGCUGGAGGAACAAAGCAACCAGGACCCUUGUGGUGACAUAGGGCAAAGGUCUCCAGUACAAAAAGCAGGUGACAAGUAGGAAUUAAGACAAAAGAUAAGGGUAAUUACAUAAAGAUACCCCUCCAAGCUUCGAAAUUCACAUAUUUCUGGAAUCCUUAUAUUAAUACCAUAAUAUAAACUUUAAAUCUAAUAUAAAUGCCAGUUUCUCUUUAAGUUAACUCUGGACCUUCCUGUUACUCUUCUUUGACAGCUCCUGUUCAGAAUUCCUGCAGCACUCAGAGUCAUAAGGCAGUGUGGUGUGGUGAGCUGGGUCCCUAGUCCAUCACCUAGGCACACUUCACUGAAUAGAAAGGGUCUAUAAGCUCAAAUCUAUGCUUAUAGACUAACAUAACUUAGACCAUUAAGCGUACAAACAGUUCUGGGAACCCAGGCUUACUGUCAAGCUAAAUAUCAUACAGAUGAUAACAAGGAAUGGAAGGCAGUCUACUGCAGCAUUUGAUUGUAUGGGCUCAGGGGCCAGACUUCCUGGGUUUGAAGCCCAUCUCUACCACCUCCUACCUGUGGUUUGGGCAAAGUUAUUGAAUUAUUUAAUUUUUCUUUGAUUCAGUUUCUUCAUUGUUACGGGGUGAAUUGUGUUUCUUCAAAAUUCAUAUGUGGAAGUCCUAACCCAGUACCUCAGAAGGUGACUGUAUUUGGACAUAAGGACUUGAAAGAGGUGAUUCUGUGAAAAUGAGGCUGUGAAGUCCUCGCCAACAAUAAAUGGUGACAACCUCAAAAACAGAAACAAAACAAGACCAUGAGGGUGGGCCUUAAUCCAAUGUGACUGGUGUCCUUAAAAGGAAGAGGGAUUUGGACACAAAACGAGACACUAGGAAUAUGCAGGCAUAGAAGAAAGACCACACAAGGAAGCAGUAAGAGGUGGCCAUCUGCAAACCAAAGAGAGAGGACUCAGAAGAAACCGAACUUGUCGAUACCUUGAUCUUGAACUUUGAGCCUCCAGAAAGAUGGGAAAAUAAAUGUCUGUUGUUCAAGCCACCCAAGCUUUAAUAUUUUGAUAUGGCAGCCCUAACAAACUAAUAGAUUCAUCUGUAAAUUAAGGAUUAAAAAAUAGUACCUACCUCAUAGAGUUGAGGUAAAGUUUAAAUGAGAUAUUCCACAUAAAGCAUUUGUUACUUUGCUUGGGACAUAAUUAAUACUCAGUAUAUGUUAGAAUUAUAGAAGAUGCAUCUGAAAGUUCUGCCAUAUUGUGGGAGGGUUGAAACGUGGUGGGAGAAGUGGUUCUCCAAAAUUUGUAGGUGAUGGCUUAAGUGACAACUAUCAUGUAUUAAGUACUUAUUGAGUGUGGAUCCUGUUUAGGUUAUAUUUGGCUGCAGGCAACAGAAAUAAACAUAAUACUUAAAUAAGAUAAAAGGUCUUUCUCUCUUUCUAGCCAACAGCUGGAGGCAACCUAGGGAAGUUAUGGUACUCUAUGAUAUUAGGGACUUGAGCUCUUUCUAUUUGUUAAAUUGUCGUUUGUGGAUUUCAUCCUCAGUUGUCCAAAAUGGCUGCAGGAGCUCCCAACAUUGUGUCCCAAUUCUAUCCAGGAUGAAGGACAAAAGAAUAGAGAAGUGCAAGCCUUUAUUUUAAAGAAACUUCCAGGAAAUUCCAUAUACCUAUUCCACUUGCAUUUCUUUGACCAGAACUUAGCUCCAUGGUCACACUUAGGUGCCAGGGAGACUGGGAAACAAUCUUUAUUCCAGGAUAAUAAGAAUGCAGCUAAGUAUCCAAGACUCUAUUAUAGAGCACAGAAGACAAAGGAGACAUUUGGUAACAGUAAUUGGUCUCUAUACCACGUGCAAUAUGUGUGCAGAGAUCAUUGAAACAGGGAUCCUUAUUGUGUUCUGUUUUGUUUGUUUGUUUUUCUGGUGGGGAAACUGAGCUUUUGUUUCUUCUUCAAGGGAUAUACAGCUCAGAUUGACCUAACCCCCAGUUUCUCAUGGAUCCUAAAAUCUCUCUACUUAACAAGUAAGAGUGACUGAUCUUUACACAGUCCAGGAACCUCAAGGUGAUGGUGACAAACUCCCCCAAAUGUCCACUGCUAUCUGAUGAAAGACAUCAACUUUGGUUGCAAUUUCUUAAGCCAGAUACGAAGAAGAAUGUUUUAAGUCUCACCACAGUGAUGCAUGGAAAUGAAUCCUGAAGUAAAGUAUAAUGUCACCUUGCCAUCCCUAGGAGAUGCUUAGGGAUAAGCAAGAGACAGCAGUCUGGGGUGUAUUUGGAGGGCCGUUCCGCCUGAAAGUUAGGCCUCUGUUGAAUUUGUGAUGAGAAAGAAAGGGGCUUAUCUACAUGAAAAAACAAAAAUAAUGAUCGUCAUAUCUUUAAAGGCUUCCAGGGAAAAAGAAGUCUGACAGAAAAGUUGAAGGAAUAAAUGUUAGACUAGAGUAGAAAAAAAAAAAGCUUUCACCAAAAUGUCAGGGGAAAAAGAAGUGCGGGAAGAGAGGCAUUAAUAAGUGAACAGGGGAUAAAGUUGGUGGCAAUUCUCAGAGGGGAAGCUGCUGGGCUACUUUUUAAAAAAUGUUCAUUUCUCUCUCUUUUUAUUCAGCUCAUUUGUAGGUGUCCAUUAUAGAAUAGCUAAUCUUUUACAGGCAAAGGAUCUAAAUAGAAAACAUUAAAGAAGUCUCACUCCGAUGAAUGAGGCCGAGCCUGCAGCUCAAGGAAACCCUGGAGACUGCAUAGGGUGUUGGAAGAAAGAAUCUCAGAAGAAAGAAAUCUUCCCAUGAAGAGAGAACAUCAAUUUCCAAGCCAGCAAGGGCGAGCUGGGGCCUCAGGAAGGAGGGGUGGGGUGGAGAGUGAACAGAUCCACACACUGGUAAGGUAGAUGAAUAAGAGAGAAACACCUAAAGCUUGCCCGAAAGCAAAGUCCUUGACCAGGUUUUUGUUCUGUGGAGGUCCCUUAAAACAACCCUGACUGGAGUUUUCUUUAACUGGCCCUGAGGGGAGAAAAAUGCCAGGACUCACCAAUGGAUGUUUCUCAAAUGCAAAGAAUCCUUCCAGUGGUCGUCUAUGUGUAGUGACGUGGGCAGCCCUGAUAUGAUCUGAGGGGUGCAGCGCAGUGGUUCCUCCCACACAGAUUCUGGCUCUGGCCCCAUCCUGGUUUUUGAACACCUAUCUACAUAACCUGCUAUGGAGUAAAGGUAUUGUUUGCCCAACACGCCUGUUGAAAGGCAAGUGUCCCUGGUAGGGUAAUCCAUUAGCAUUGGCAGGUCCUUCAGCAUAGAUGUGUGUCUCAGAUUAGAGGACUAGAAAGGCCUGGAAGUUGGGGAGAGUUAGUCUGAUAUGGAACAUUAGAGAGGAAUAGAGAAGGAGGGGAAGGAGAGAGGAGGGCAAAAGGGAGAGCAUUUUGACCAGCAUUUGGCCUUGAGACAGAAGGGGCUGAGUGAGGAUGAGAGCAGAAAUUUAAAUGGGAAGGUGUGGGGGCCCCUAAGGGGUUACUGUUUCUUCCACAAGCUACCAGGGCCAGACUCAUUCUUUCCUAAGGGCUCUCAUUCUUCCUCAAGCCCACUGGUGAAUUCACCUUUGAGUAUAGGCCAAAAGAGGAGACAACUCACUUCCUUUUAAUUAUUGAAACAAUAAUGUAAUAGCACCAUCAUUAAGCACUGGUUCUUAACUUGGGAGGGAGGUGAUCAUCGAACUCCUCUGAGAAUCUGAUGAAAGCUGUGCUCGUACUUCUCAAAAAAAUAAACAUAUGCACAGCCACACAAAAUAUGGUAUGUUUUCACUUGUUUUAUGGACACUGUGGGGGCCCAUCUCUGGGUCCCAUGAGAGGCCAUUGUCUCCUAGCUAAAAUGCUUUGAUUUAUUCUUUAAUAAUCCUAACACAGAGGUUUCAUUUUUGUGCAUUUAUUCUAAGCCCUCUUCCUUAUGCAUGCAUAAUUGUUACAGUGCAAUCAUAAUCUACAUACAAUUUAUGUGUUCUACUUUAUAAAAUCUAACAUUAUCUGGUAAACAUUUUUCUAUGUUGUUAUAUAUUCUUCACAAUUAUAAAUUUGAAUGAAUAUAUAAAAUUGUAUUGAAUUGUUGCAGUAUAAUUUUCUUAACUGUUCCUUAAUGACUAGGUGUUUAAAUGGCUUCUAAUUUUGUAGUAUAGAUAAUGCUACACUGAAUAUCCUUAUCCAUUUAUCUUGCUUCUGUUGAAUGUUUCCUUGAGAAAAAUUCCUACCCUUUACAAAAUCAAAGUGUAAGAAUAUUUUUAUGGGUCUUAAAAGAUGAUGUGAUAUUGCUUUCCAAAGAAGUUAUAAUUUUGGGUACCGCCAAUAGUAUACAAGUGUCCCAAUUUCCCCAAAUCUUUACCUAUAAUGGGUACUAUUAUUGAAUUUUUUUCUAAUUUAAUAGUUUUCAAAGCAUCAAGAAGAUAGUCUGAUGUUUGGUUGCCAAGGGGUGAAGUGGAGAAUGAGAAGAGUGUACUGGGAGGAUGGGGAAGUCUGGUCUAUAAUGGGAAUGGAUAAAGCUUCUAAGCUUUUCAGUAACAACUGGAACCAAGCAGGCUAUAUGAGUUAAGGAGCAGCACUCACGGACUUAGUAAACAGUACAUUCCCACUUUCUGUCCAAUCCCUUUUCAAGCUUCCACUUCUAAAUUUUAUCAGUCAAAAUGGAAACUGGGAGCUAGGGUUUGAUCAGGACCAACAGGGUUACUGUGGGUCACUUUGUAAGGCUACUGUGAUAUGGUAACAGUAUGGUUUAUCCUCAGGAUGUCAUUGUCUCUAAAAAAUUGCCUUGUGCUCCAUAGCAGCACUAUCCAAUAGAAACAUAAUGCAAGCCACAUAUACGUAGUUUUCAGUUUUCCAGUAGCCACACUAAAGAAAAAAAGUAAAAAGAAACAAAUGAUCCUCCUGACCUCAAAAUAUAUUACAAAGCUACAGUUGUUAAAACAUGGUACUAGCAUAAAGACAGACAUACACACCAAUGGAACAGAAUAGAAAGCUCAGAAAUAAACUCACAGGUAUACAUUCAACUGAGCUUUGACAAGGGUGUCAAGAAUAUAUAAGAGGGAAUGGACAGUAUCUUCAACAAAUGUUGUUGGGAAAACAGGAUAUCCACAUACAAAAUAAUGAAAUUAAAUCUUUAUCUUACUGUAUGCAUAAAAAUUAAUUCAAAAUUGAUUAAAGACUCAAACGUAAGACCUGAAACCAUAAAACUCCUAGAGAGAGGAAAAGCUUUAGUACACUGGGCUUGCUAAUAAUUUCUUAGAUAUGAUACCAAAGUACAAACAACAAAAGCAAAAUUGUACAAUGUGACUACAUGAAACUAAAAAGCUUCUGUACAACAAAGGAAACAAUUAACAGAAUGAAAAGGCAGCCUACAGAAAGGGAGAAAGUAUUUUCUAUAUAUAUAUUGAUAAGGGAUUAACAUCCAAAAUAAAUAAGUUCCUACGACUUAGUAGCAAAAAACCAAAUAAUCUGAUUUAAAAACAGGCAAACAGGCAAAGGACUUGAAUAGAAAUUUCUCCAAAGAAGACUUACAAAUGGCCAACAGGUGUAUGAAAAGAUGCUCAACAUCACUAAUCAUCAGGGAAAUGUGAAUCAAAGCCACAGUGAGAUAUCACCUCACACCCAUUGAUAUGGUUAUUGUCAAAAACAAAACAAGGCUGGGAGUAGUGGCUCACAUGUGUAAUGCCAGUACUGUGAGAGGCCAAGGCAGGAGGAUCACUUGAGGCCAGAAGCUCAAGACCAGCCUGAGCGAAACAGUAAGACCCCGUCUCUUCAAAAAAUUAAAAAAUUAGCUGGGCAUGGUGGUGUGCCCGUAAAAUCUCAGCUACUUGGAAGGCUGAGGUGGGAGGAUCGCUUGAGUCCAGGAGUUCGAGGCUGCAGUGAACUAUGAUCACACCACUACACACCAGCCUGGGUGACAGAGCAAGACCUUGUCUCAAAAAUAAAUAAAUAAAUCAGACAAAAAAGAUUAAAAUGUUGGUGAGACUGUGGAGAAAUUGGAAUUUUUAUAUACUGUUAGUGGGAAUGUAAAACAGUGCAGCCAAUAUAGAAAACAGUAUAAAGUUUCCUCAAAAAAUAAAAAAUAGAACUACCAUAUGUUCCAGCAAUUCCACUACUGGGUAUAUCCCAAAAGAAUUGAAAUUAGAAUCUUGCAGGGAUAUCUGUACUCCCAUGUCCAUUGCAGCAGUAUUAGCAAUAGCCAAGACAUGGAAGCAACCAAAAUGUUCACUGGCAGAUGAAUGGAUAAAAAAAUAUGGUAUAUAUAUACAAUGGAAUAUUAUUCAGCCUUUAAAAAGAAGAAAAUCCUGUCACUUGAGACAACAUGGAUGAACCCGGAGGACAUUAUGCUAAGUGAAAUGAGCCAGUCACAGAAGACAAAUACUGCAUGAUUCCACUUCUAUGAGGUACCUAAAAUAGUCAGACUCACACAAGCAGAAAAUAGAAGUGACUACCAGGAGCUGAGCUGGGGGGAGUAGGUUGGGACUUGUUCAGUUGAUAUAAAGUUUUGGUUAUGCAGGAGAAAUAACUUCUAGAGAUCUGCUGUACAGCAUAGCACCCAUAGUGAAUGGUACUGUAUUAUGCCCUUAAACAUUUGUUAUGAGGUUAGAUCUCAUGUUAAGCACUCUUGCCAAAAACAAACAACACAAAACAAAGAAAAAGGAAAAAAACAGUGGAGGGAGGACACAGGGAAACUUUUAAAGGUGAUGGAGAUGUCUAUUACCUUGAUUGUGGUGAUAGUUUUAUAGGUGUAUGCAUAUGUCCAAACUCUUCAAAUUAUAUGCAUUAAACGUACAUAGUUUUAAUAUAUCAAUUAUAUCUCAAUAAAACUAUUAAAAAACAAAUCAAAUUAACUUCAGUACUAUAUAUUAUUUAACCUGUCAUAUAUUUAAAAAUAUCAUUUCAGCAUGUAAUCAACAUAAAAAUUAUUAAGUAUUUUCACAGUCCUUUUUUCAUACUAAACCUUUGGAAACUGUUGCAUAUUUUAUACUAACAACACAUCCCAGUUCGAGACACCUAUAUUUCUAGUACUCAGUUGCCACAUGUGGUCAUGGCCACUGUAGUAGACAGUGCAGCUCUGUGGCCUCAGCCCACAGAGAUGAGCCUAGGAUGCUUUGCAUUGCAGAACUGUCUUUCUCUUAACGCUUGAGCUAUUGGGAAAUCAGAGCCAUGUUAUUUAUCAUGAAAGAGCAUUUGAUUAAAAGUAUAAAAUAUCCUAGGUCAGAUGGCUCACUGUAGUUGCAGGGGAGACAGUGAAUUGCUGACCAUGCACUGUGAUACAUCAAAAUAUAGGGACAUUCAGGCACCUCCUCAGCCUACUGAAUCAGGAUCUUUGGGGUGAGUCUAGAAAACAGAUUUUUAAGUACAGGUUUUAAUAUGAUAAUAAGUGGUGCCUGUUAUUAAUGGGAGGACAUUGAAUCCCAGAGAGAAUGAAUGACUCACUCAUGUUCUUCUCAUAGUUAGGGGUCAGCUAGACCUAGAACCUCACUUGGACCCACUAGACACCUUUCCACGCCCUCACCACAAUCACUGCCAACUGCUAUUCCAGCACAAUUCUUGCCAAGAAAAUACCUGCUGUCAUGUGACAGGUAUCAGCACACUUUAGGAGCAGUCAAGACAACUUCCUAAGAAGGUAAACUAUAUUUUCCCAACUUACCAAAUUAGAGUAAGAAGAAUAGAUUUCUUCCUUUAAUCUGGCUUUGUCUCAGACUGGAAGUGCUCUCUUGUCCAGUUAGAAACUAAUCGUGAUAAAAUUAGUAGGCCAGAAGGACACUCAUGGCCCAUCUUUAACAGGAUUUAUAGCCCUGGUUCCUUUUCUUGUUGCCUCUGUGGAAAUGUGCAAGCAUACACAUAGUUAGGAAGGUUUGAAGGAAAUGCCUUAGAGAAGUCUCAGUGACCAAGAAAAGCUAGUCAAAUUGCCAGCUUCGGCCACAGCCAUGUGUUAAAAUGCUCUGCAGACCCAAGUGUGAUCAUGAAACAAGUACAGCAAGAACAGCAGGUCUGUAAACAUCCUGAUGACAAUGGGGAACAAACAGCUGGGCCGAGACCAGAUCGGUUCAGGCAAAUGUGCUCGUGCUUUUGAUCCAAGUGCAAGAUGAGCGGAUGCAGGGGAGGCGGCAGCUGCGGCACAGCUGGACUCAGGAGGCAUGUGAUAGCGUGACUUGCAAAUCAUGCUGGAAAAAUUCAUUCUACUAAGCUUGGACGUGAACACAGUCACGUGGGGCCCAUCAGCUCACACACUGCAGCCAAGAGCGAGACAGAAAUGCAACCGGGCUAAUAAGAGGCGUCAGGCCCACUUCUAGUUGGACACGGCUGUCUUUCAGGGAAGGAAUGGGACAGGAAAUGCACUAUAUUUGGAAAUGACUCUAAAUUUAGAAUGAAAGACUGACUUGAGAAUACUGAAAACUUGAUUGAGAGAUACUUAAAUGUAUUUUAUAAGCAUGGAAGGCAUUUACUGGGGUCUCUACCAUAGUGUUUUUUGCUUGUUUGUUUGUUCGUUGAAGACAAGGUCUCACUGUGUCACCCAGACUGGAGUGCAGUGGCACAAUCACAGCUCACUGCAGCCUCAACCUCCUGGGCUCAAGUGUUCCUCAUGCGUCAGCCUCCAGAGUAGCUGAGGCUACUUGACCACAGGCAAGCACCACAUGCCUGGCUAAUUAAAAAAAUUUUUUUUUGUAGAGAUGGUAUCUCCCUGUGUUGCCCUGGCUGGUCUCAAACUCUUGGGCUAAAGUGAUCCUUCCACUUCAGCCUCCUAAAGUGCUGGGAUUGCAGUUGGGAGCCACAGCUCCUGGCUUCAUAGUGUUUAAUAUGAAAGGCUAUUCUGAUCUUUCCUACUGGUCUAGCACUUUGGGGUUUGCAAAGAGCCUUACAUUCACUUUCACUUCACCAAUGAGUAAAUAAGCCUCAGAAAAACUGAGUAAAUACUAGAGCUCCAGUGGCGCAAUCGGUUAGCGCGCGGUACUUAUACAGAAAAACUGAGUAAAUACUGAAUGUAUGUGUGUGUAGACAUACAAUAUUACAUGAUGUGCUAUUAAUAUAGCAUGUGUAUAUAUACUGUUUUACACAUAUUUAUAUAUAUUAUCAUACUAUAUAUGCAUAUAUGCAUACUAUUAUAAUCAUUCAUUUAACAAAUAUUUAUUGAGCAAUUACUUAGGUACCGGGCACAGUGCAGUAUAUCAACAAGGGUAAGGGAUGCAGACAUUGCAACUCUCAUGGAACUCAGAGCCUAGUUAGGAAGAAAACCAUUGCAUAAACAAUCACAACAUAAAUAUGAUUAGAGUCUGGAGUAAGUGCUACAAAAGAAAAGUCUAAGAGGUCACAAGAGUAUAAGAAGAGGGUCUGCCUUGCCUGGAGCAUCAGAUGCUCCCCUGAGGAAGGAGCCUGUGAGCUGAGCGGUCCGGAUGAGCAGGUGUUUUCUACAGUCUGUGCAUUGUGUCUGCUGAGAAUCUGGAAAUUAAAAAUGCUGCUGUUGGGGGUUUCACCAUGUACGGACGAGGCAGGAGUUCCUCCAAAAAAUACAAAUUCCAUGAGGUUAAAUCAGACCUCUCAGCCCCAAUCAAAAGGUAAGGACUUCGUGGAAGCUAAGGUCAAAGUCCAAUCGAUUUAAUAGACCCUGAGAAUGUAACAUCCUAUGGAAGCUGAAAUCUAAGUGCAGGUUAGUUCUCCCAAUUGCUUUCUGCCCUUUAAGGUUAGAGAAAGAUGACAGCAAGAAGCAUAAAACUCAGUUGUGGCUCUCAGAGCAGUCCUUGUUUUGAGGUUUUCUUUUUUCUGUCUUCUCCUUUCCCCCCUGUCUCCUCUCUGUCUUUGUCCUCCUUCCUCUACCUUCUUUAUUUUUCACUGUUAUAGAUUAGUACCAUCUAUUCUAUUAAUAUUGACUAUAAAUGCAUGUUUUCUUCAUGUUAAAUGCCUAUCAAUUGUCUUCUACCUUCCAAAAGUUAAAAAUGUAUAUAUGAUAUGGCAAAACUUGUGCUAGAUCACAAAAGCAAGCUUUCAUUUUGAUUUACACAGGUAUGUGUGUACACACAAACACACUAAAUACAAAGGGUUGCUGCUAUAGGCUAGCAUAAAUAGCUUCCUGAUUCUUAACACAUCAGGUAAUAUAAAUUCUGGUAAGCUCAGACUGCCUCUAUAUGUUCAUAUCAAUUAGCCUUAAGGGUCUUUUUCUGAAGCACACGGUAAAAUCAACACAGCAUUAGGAGCUAUUUUCUCAAAAACAAAGAGUUUGAAUUCUUGCUGUAGUAGUUCUGAAGUAAAAGAGAGGCUCCUUGCCCCUCGUUGUUCAAAGUCAUCCAUUUCCAACAGGCGAGGGCAUCAACAAUUUGGCAGAGGCAGGUAAAAAAGAGCCAGGGGAACCCAAGUGAAAUUUCAACACAGCGGUUGCCUUGGAACCCAUUUGGAGGUUAACUUGCUCUUGUUUCUCCAGCAUUUCCUUGCUGAAGGAAAUUUGUACUCCAAUUCCAGCCGCGUUCCAACUCCAAUAAAACAGUGAUAAGAUGCCCUGGAGGGUUGCAGCCAAGCCUGUGGGUGCAAACAGGGUCAAAUCACAUCAUGGGAAUGAGAUGGGAUUCUACAUAGUUUGAGUGUUGACUGUUUUCCUCUUGCCAACAGUGGGACGUUUGUUCUCAUUGUUAAAUAAUUAAAUAGGCAGUUUGUAUUUAUUUAACAUACAGACUGUAGCCAAUUCCUGCUGACAGCUACCAAAAUAACCCCAUAUUUCCUAGCUCUGAAUGGCUCAGAAGACUGUUUCCUGACUGCGGGAGCAUCACCGCAGAGCAAAACUCUCCUCCAAGUCUCCGAACACCUUUUUCAUCACUUUAAACAAUAAAUCAAUUCACAGCAUGUGAUCCAAAAACAACAGCCCAGUUUUAUUGGAUGAGGUUCAUUCCCAUUCUCUCAGGCACUCCUUCACUACCAGCACUGAGCUGUCUUGAAGCUGUACUUGGCUGUGGAUGGAAAAAAAAAAUCUACUAGUUUUCCUCAUUUACACUUGCCCAUUAAAAAAAGUGAAUUGUGACCUAAUAACUUAAAAAAGAAAAAAAAAAAGAAGAAUUAUAACUUGGAGGAGAAAGUAGAAAGUUUGGGAGAAGCAGGCCAAUCAGGAAGUCAGGGGAAACAAGUAUUUAAAUGUGGAGGUGGGUAGUCCUUGGAGCUUGGGAAUGAUUCAAGAUAAGGUAGAGACUCUCACUGGUCUCCUAAGGUGGUCAACAUGGCAGAGGGAAGAAACUGAGCAGUCAAAGAUAGCAUCCUCUGUGGAGGGUGGUGCUAAGAGAGAUUCUAGAACCAUUUACACAUGAUCAAUGCUUUGAUCCUGUCAUGUGUAUCAGAAGAGAUGUAGACCAGGCCGGGCAUGGUGGCUCACGCCUGUAAUCCCAGCACUUUGGGAGGCCAAGGUGGGCAGAUCACUUGAGGCCAGGAGUUCGAGACCAGCCUGGCCAACGUGGUGAAACACUGUCUCUACUAAAAAUACAACAACAAUUAGCUGGGCGUGGUGGCACGUACCUGUAAUCCCAGCUACUCGGGAGGCAGAGGUUGCAGUGACUGAGAUUGCACUACUGCACUCCACUCUGGGUGACAGAGAGAGACUCUGUCUCAAAAAAAAAAAAAAAAAAAAAAAAAAAAAAAAAAAAAAAAGGAGAUAUAGACCAGACUCCUCUUGAAAUUUCCUGGUAUUUGUAGUGUCUGAGGCAUUCAGACAGUAGGUGCUAAAGACUUAUCCCUAGGAGUCCGGAGUCCCACUUAAGUGGAAGAAGGAAGCGAUUUUCCCUGUCCUAAGUGGCUAGCUACCAGCCAGCAGCCAGGCGAUGUGUGGGUACUGACAUACCACAGCAUCUUCCUCUCGAUGCUCCCACUAAUGUGGCCACCAAAGGUCCACCCUAGAGGAAACAGCAAUGAAAGGAAACAGGACAAAAGACCCCGUGGCAAGAAAAAAGAUGGCCUAAUUUUUUCUUUCUCACCAUUCCUCUUGUCCUCUUAACCCAUCUCUUUACUGUGCAAUUUGCACUUUGAGUGGCUCUACAGAUGGUGGAUACAGUGAAGACCUCUGUUAUCAAUAUUAAAACUGAGCAUCAGUGAGUCAACAAGGCUCCACUUUGUCCUGUUCAACUUUAGCAGCACCACAGAGAUCAGAACUAAGUAAAGCCAUUUACACAAUUAAGGAGGAGGCUGCCUUUUAGAGUGGCACAAGCAUUUCCUCUGGAGUAGUGUGUCUGAACCAGGAAGUCCCUCUCUGCCUUGUCUGUGGAUUUUAGACAGUCUGAAUUCAGUUUCUUCUUCUGUGAAAUAGAUCAGCCCCACUUGUACUGUCAUAGUAUUGCUCUGAGUAUGGAAAAGGACAAUGGAAAAUGAGGUGCUCUGUAUUCUGUUAUUUGUCAUUAGUUGUGUUCUACUAACCAAACUUUAGGCAUGGUGGAGUUCAUUUCUGCCUCUUCUGGAGAUAGGAAACUAUAGAACUAACUUCAGAUGUAGAUUUUUUUAAAGUUGUCACUCUGUCCCUUUUCUUGUUUGUAAAAGGAGGAAGUGCUUCUGUGUGCCCUCCAAGGCUUCUUCCAACCUUCCAAAAAAAGAAAAAAAAGGCAGACAGUCCAUUCAAGGAUGGCAAUCAUGAAAUCUUGACCUACUUUGGAAUGAGAGGCAACAUCUAAGAAAACCUCAGCUUAAUCUCUAUUAGCUCACCACAGAAGCAUAUAUUCUGGGCUAAGAUCUCUCAGAAGCUGGGCCAUGGCCAUGGCAUGUGCUUAAAGCAUAAUAAAAUGGAUGUGGAAAAAAGAGGAGUGUAUCCCACCUGCUCAUUAUCUGGGGCCAUAUUCCUAGCAGGGUAGUUCAACUAUUCACAGCCAAGAAACAUUUUUGAUCAGAGUCCAAAUCUCCAUCCAGAAACAGGUUCCUGGCAUACCACUCAUGCCCCUGUAAUCAAUUCCCUGGACUGUGAAUCAAGUGACUACUGCCAGAGCAAUGGAGUUGGAUUGUUGACUUUUUGACAGGUCUCUCGCCUCUUUCUGCAUCUUAUGUCUUCCCCGCUCUCCUUCUUGCCCCACCUACUGAAGCCCUCUACCUUCAUCCCUUUUCUCCCUUACCAAUCUCUCCUCCCUCCAUUUUUUCCUUUCUCUGCACCUCAGCUGAUGGCAGAUACUAUUUUUCAUACUUCUAAGCUUGCAUCAGUAUCAACACAGCCAGAUUCACUCACAUUUCCCUCCCCCUCCUCCCUCCCUGUCCCACUCCAAUUCUUUCCAAGGAGAACUUGGGGAUUGUGUCCAAACUGGGACUGAAUACAACCAACGAGGAACCCGAUGAUCCAAGUCCCACCCCCACAGCACACUAUAAUCCAGCACUGUAUAGAGCAGUUCACAGAACCAAAUAUAAAGCCCUUAUUAAGAAUAAACAUGUUGGCUGGGUGUAGUGGCUCAUGCCUAUAAUCCCAACACUUUGGGAGGCUGAGUUGAGUGGAUAACUUGAGUCCAGGAGUUCAAGACCUGCCUGGGCAACAUGGUGAAGCCCUGUCUUUACGAAAAAUCCAAAAAAAAAAAAAGAUUAGCUGGGCAUGGGGCAUGCGCCUGUAGGCCUAGCUACUUGGGAGGCUGAGGUGGGAGGAUAGCUUGAAUCCAGGAGGUUGAGCUGCAGUUAGCCAUGAUUGCAUCACUGCAUUCCAGCCUGGGCAACAGAGCAAGAUCCAGUCUAAAACAAAAAAACAAAAAAAGAAGAAUGAACAUUAUUCCAUAUGGAGACUUAGCCUCUGUCAGUUAGACCCCUUGACAUCCAUAACACAGAACUGGAAACUGGACAAUGGGCAAAGAAAGAAAAAUCACAGGUUCAGGUUACAGAAAAGAAGGCAGGGAGAAAGGGCAAGUUAAUCUAAAUACUGGGUAAGAGACAAAAAGCUAAAUGAGAUGGAGGAGCAUUCCGUGGUGGGAGUGGGAGGUGUUAGUAAACAGGGGCUGUGGAGCAACAUGGGUCCAGGAGAGUUGGGGAGACAGAAAAGGACAUAUGAAAAGUGUUGCCAGCUGGUAAGUUACAUCCUCAUAACUUCUUCUUAAGACAUAGAAAUUAGAGGCUAAAUUCCUUUUUCAUUACUUUUGACUGAUCUGUAAGUUUGUGAAUAUAAAUCUCUGGAAACUGAGGCACAUGGUCAAGGAGGCACACAGGCUACACGCUGGAGUUUAGGUAACUCUCAGAUCUUCUGAGCCAUCUUCAGAUUAAUCUCAGAUCAAAGAGGUUUAGAAAGGGAGAUGAUCUUCAGGAAUCUCCCUUACAAUACACUCUCAUCAGAUGCAUUUUUCAAAGGACAUUUGCUUUAGCAGAAUUGGAGAGAGAUAAAUCGCAGCCCUGUGCAUUCGAUACUUGAUACAUCCUUCCUCCACUGAGAAGCUAAUGCUCUAGUUCUGGGUUUACCUGAAGCCAUUAGGAGAGCUAAAACUCCAUGUAGUGUGCUCUGCUAAAAGUAAGUGGAUUUCGGAGCUAGAAGAAGAAUUCUCUCUCUCUGUAGUUCAAAUGGCAUUCAGAAAUCCAAUUAACGUUGGUUUUUCUAAAGCAGAAUCUGUAAUUGUGUCCAAUACUGCCAACUGUUCAGUUCGAUAAUAAAACAGGCUAUUCUUAAGAUGGCCUGUAGUCAUUAGGGAAAGUCUAGCUCUGUAGGAUACAAUUUCUCUUUGGAAUAAUAUAUGUGAUGUUUUUAUAAUUUCUUUCAUCCAAGCAUUUCAAAGCAUUUUAAAAUAAUUUGGAGACACAGGAUAUAUAUUUUUCAUAAAUUAAGCUACAUAUGUCAAUACUUUGCCUAGGGACAGAAAUUAAUUAUUCCACAGAAGUGAUGCUGGUAUCUAAUCUUAUUACAUUUAUACUGUAAAAGUAUCAUUAUUAAUAAUUAUGACAGCUAUUAUUUAUUGAAAGCAGAAUGCUUAUCCUGUUAGGCAUUGUGUUAAGUGCUUUGCGUGUAUUAUCUCAUUUAAUCUUCCCAUGAAUCCAAUUCUAAAUCUAAUCCCAUUUCAGUAUGAUUCUAUGAGUAAAGUACUACUUCUAUCCUUUUUUCACAAAUGGUGUCAAUUAGGUUCAAAAAAGUUUAAGUAGCAUGCCCAUUGUCACAUCGCUAGUAAGAAUGGUGGAGCAUCUCUUAUUGGGGAGGACCAGUUAUUAAGAGUUCCGAUGGUCAAUUUCCUUUUCAAAUGUCACUUGUGUGGCAUAUUGUGCAGCCUGUUUGAUCAUGAAGAGAUGGCCUUCUUAAUUCUAGAACCGUGUGGCUAAAAUCUUUGCUAAUUCUUGAAUGUACCAAGGGCUCUACUGUCUCUCAACACCUUGUAAGUAAAGAAAACUUAAGGGUGAUUUUUAAAGUAUGGCAAAGAACAACCUUUCUCAACUGUCAGACAGUUCUCUAGAUCACAACUAUAGCACAUACCAUACCAAAAAUUACAAAAUUUGGAAACAUAAAGUUGUCAUCUUCCUCCUGGGUUAUUGCAGUGUCCUAAUUGUUCUCCUUGCUUCUCAUUUUGCCCCCUUGGAAUAAAACCCAUGGCUAAAUGUUUUAGCCUAGCUUACCAGUAAUCUGAUCUCAUCUUAUGCCACGCUCUUCCUAACCCACUCUAUUCCAGCCACACUCACUCAGCCUUUUCCAGCUCUUCAAACACACCAAGUUCUUCUUGCCUUUAUACAUACUAUCAUCUCCUGUUGAAACUUCAUACUCCUGCUCUUCUCCCAUAUUCCUUCCUCCUAUUUCUUGGCUCUUAAAUGUUAUAAAUGGUGUUCAGUCACAUACACACACACAUUCACAAACACACACCCCACGUCUAAAUUACACCCUGUUUUUCCUUCAUAGCUCUUAUCCAUAUUUACAGUUUUCUGUUGUUUUGAGUACUUUGUCUAAUGAGUGUCUCUUCAAUUGGACUAUAAGAUCCAUGAGGGAAAAUUUCAUAUCUCUUCAUUUACCAUUGUAUUCCCAGUGCCUGAUACACUGCCUGACUAUAUUAGAAGCCAGUGAACUAUUUCAUAAGUUGAGUGACUCUAAGUUUGAUUCCUUAUCAACCACCUAAUUGCUGUGUGACCUUUGGAAAUGCAUAUUCAACUUCUUCUCUGAGUGUCAGUCUUUUCAUCUGUUAAAUGGGGCUCACAAUACCUAUAUUACAGGAUCUACAUGGAGAAGAUGUAUGCUAAUAUAUAUAAAAUGCUUCAAAAAUUGUUAAACCUUGUAGAAUCUCGAACUUUAAAUUCAGUAUCGCCCCAUUGAAGCUAAGGGUGUUUCCGCCAGUUUAGUAGGCUAAACUUGCAGAAGGAGCAGACUUUGGACAGCAUGUGGGCAAUUUUCACAAGGCGUUUAACUGGGCUUCAAGCCCAGGGCACUCAGAGGCUCAGCAAGGAGUGAAAUAGGGCCAGCUCGCCCCCCGAGGGGUCCAUCGGUCCCUUGACUAAGCUGGUAUGCUUAUGUUGUGUAUUUGUGCAUCAUAAACACAGCCAUCUAUCUGGUUUUUUGUCCUCUUUUCUGACUGACUUCUCACUCAAAGCACAAAGAAAAAGAAAGGAAAUGCAAAGUCAUGUGCAUCAACAGAGCCUAUAUCUUUGAGUAUCUUAGUGACUUGGGAUUAUUUUAAGGGAAAAAAUAUGGGAAAGUUCUGCAGGGACCUAACACACAUGGCUGGCUAUCAUCUAUACUCCAAGUAGACAUCGCUUUCUUAACUGUUGUAGUUGUUUGGAAGGAAGGGUGUGUCUGAUGCAGCCUAGAACUUUUCCCAGGGAUUUUGGGGAAAGCUCUCUUCCUUCUUAUUGAUCUGGAUUUGAAAAAGCAAUAAUAUCUAAAACUACGUUAGGGGAAAGGUCAGAAAAGAGAAGUCACCUGAUAGAGAAAGGGUCAAGGUAGACAGAGGUCACCAGUGGAGACUAAGGUCUAAGACAUAUGGUUUCCUUUGACUUUCUUCUCCUCACCAGUGGGUAAAGUGGUGAACUGGAUAUCAGCAUUCUUGGAAACUCCUGGAAGUUUUCUAAUUCUCUACAGAACCAUGAAGUGAACAGGGCACUUCAAAGAAUACUUGAUCCAUAGCCCUUGCUUUUUCAUAGGUUAGUCUCUGAAACAAAUGAGAAAGUAAUUCACAUUAUAAGUGGUAUUCCAAAAACAACAGCCAUUUGGGAUUCUUAUCUGGUAUUGAGGGGUAGACAGGAUUUUUCCAAGCUUGAAUAAAAGUCCCAGGAUCUGCUAGACACGGGGAAUUUACCCUCUCUUCUUCACCCAUGUGAAAUCUCACUCCACGACCAUUCCCUGACCUAGGCCCCAUCAUCUCCUGCUUGGGCCACUUCAAGAGACUCCUAAGCAACUUUUCGCUUCUGGUCUGGUGCCUGCUCCACUUCACCCCCAAUCCAUUCACACUUUACCCAGAGUGAUCUUUCUGAAACAAAUCUAAUCAUACAAACCCUGCUUGAAUGUCUUCCAUCAUUCUCCACGGUUGUGGAGGUAAAGUCCACACUGUAACAUGGCCUAUGAGGCCUUCCUACCUCACCAGCAUCAUCUCGUAUAAUUCUUCCCAUAUCUCACCAUCCACCUCGGCCCACCUCUUAUUAUUCAGGCAUGCUGUUCUUAAGGCAGGUCCUGAACAGGCUGUGCUCUCUUGGGACUCUAGGUCUUUACAUAUCUGUGAAUUAUAAAGUUCACCUUCUCACUACUAUUAUUCAAAACAUUUUCUUGGAGCUCUUUCAUUGCGCUUAACAUUGUACUUGGCAGUAGAACAGACAGACAGGUAAACAAGUAGUUACAGUUCAGAUAUUACAGAGGACAAAAUGUAUAAAUGUGAUAGAAGCCAGAGAAAGGGGCAACUAAUUUGGUCAGGGCGGAGCAAAGGAAAGCUUCACAAGAAGAGAAGACCAAUCACAUUAGCUCAUGUUUAGUGAACAUUUACUUAGCUCUGAGCUAAAGUGUUUUACAAAUGUUAUCUUAUCAAAUUAUCAAAAUAACUCUAGGAAAUGGAUACUGUCAGGAGAGAGGAGAGCAUAACAGUUAAGCACAUGAGUUAGGCCUCAGCUUAAACCCUGUCUCUACCACUUAGAAGAUUUCUAGCCUUGAGCAAGUUGUUUAACUCCCAAGGCAUUUUUGUCAACUUCAAAAUGGAGAUAGAUAAUAGUUUUUUUAAAAAAAUUAGUUCUGGCUGGGCGCGGUGGCUCACGCCUGUAAUCCCA
rnacentral:lncRNA from 1 species